UGACUGGACUAGCAAGGAACAGUUAGAGUCGAUGAGAAAAACUCAAAAGAAGAUACUUUGAAGAAUGCUGGUAGUCAAAACCAACAGGUGCAGAAAUGAAAGCUCCCAAGCAAAGAACUCACUGGACUAAGAUGUGGAAAGACAAGCUGCACAAUGACCACCUCAAUUAGCAACAAACAAGAACAGUAUUCACUGAUUAUUUACAUCCCGUGGUAACUAGGAUUUACACAAGCUCCAGUCUGGAUCCAGAACACCUGAGAAGAGAUGAUGCCAACCCCUCAGAGGACCUCAGAUGAUGCUAACCCAGA